UCGAACGGUUAAAGCACCUUCGGGUGUGUAUAGAGUGGCGAACGGCUGAGUAACACGUGGGCAACCUGCCCUUUGCAUCGGGACAGCCUCGGGAAACCGUGGUUAAUACCGGAUACUCCAUCUUUCUCACAUGAAAAAGAUGGGAAAGUGUUUAGCGGCAAGGGAUGGGCCCGCGCCCUGUUAGCUUGUUGGUGGGGUAAAAGCCUACCAAGGCAAUGAUGGGUAGCCGGGUUGAGAGACCGACCGGCCAGAUUGGGACUGAGACACGGCCCAGACUCCUACGGGAGGCAGCAGUGGGGAAUCUUGCACAAUGGGCGAAAGCCUGAUGCAGCGACGCCGCGUGCGGGAUGAAGGCCUUCGGGUUGUAAACCGCUUUCAGCAGGGACGAGGCGAAAGUGACGGUACCUGCAGAAGAAGCCCCGGCUAACUACGUGCCAGCAGCCGCGGUAAUACGUAGGGGGCAAGCGUUAUCCGGAUUCAUUGGGCGUAAAGCGCGCGUAGGCUGCCCAGUAGGUCGAGAGUUAAAUCCGGGGGCUCAACCCCCGUCCGCUCCCGAUACCGCUGGGCUUCGAGUCUGGUAGGGGAAGGUGGAAUUCCCAGUGUAGCGGUGGAAUGCGCAGAUAUUGGGAAGAACACCGGUGGCGAAGGCGGCCUUCUGGGCCAUGACUGACGCUGAGGCGCGAAAGCUAGGGGAGCGAACAGGAUU
rnacentral:rRNA from 1 species